CGCCGCCUCCCCCUCCCCUGUCUCUCCUCCUCUCUCCUCGUCACCAUCAUCGGGAUGCAACAGCGCAUCUGGCCGAAGGAGAGUGUGGCGGCUGUGUCUCCUAGCAAUGGCAGUGAGGACGGGUUGAUGAGGAGGCGACAACUCGAGAGGUAGGCAAGAGGAACACAACCCCCAGUUGAGGAGGAGCCGCUCGGCACAGAUGUAGCUAGGGUUUGGGUGGGGGUUGGUUCCUACACCGAUGACGGCAUUUGCCAGCAGCAGCACAUCCCUCGACUUCCGUAACCUCAGUUGCAGCUUGUCCCUGCACCCUUCUCUGGUCCUAGAUAAAACUGUCAUCUUGCUUCAGAUUCAAGUGGUUCUUCCAAGUUGAAUAAUGAGUGUGCAUGCCGCAGUAGCAAGGACAGACGACAUCAAUGCUGGUCAGCAACUAAAUCGGCAAGCAUUGAUAUUUUUAUUAGGAAGGUAACACAUCUUCCUAUACUAUAUGUUUGUGUGAUUCUGUUGCUUCUAAACCCAAUCUAUGUUGCUUCAUCUCAUGGAUGAGGGGUCGGCUACAGGAGCGCUAGGACCCUAGGAGUGGAACACCACUUCCUCCAAUAUUGCCGAGGCCUCUGCUUUUUUCGUCGUCGUCCAUCGGUCCAACCUGUUGUUGUUCGCUCCGUCGGCUUGUAGUUGCUUAUGGAGCGUGCUGCGGAUUCGUUGUGCCUCCUUCAAAUAUAAGUUCUCUUUGCUUCCACUGCCUUUGCAUAUGCAUUUCUGAUAUUUUAAUUUAUAGAGUCCAAAGGAGAAGUGUGAAAUAGAUAAGAGUUUGUGCUGAGAAGUUCCUGACUAAUUCAUGCUGUAUUGGCCAUGGCUACAUGUUUGUUAGUCAUUUGGCUGGGUCAAGCUUAUGUAGCGAAUAUUUCCUUAAUGAAUGAUAUGGUGAUAGGAAAUAGUAAGUGUAGUUUCGGCCUAUGUACCUGCACAUUUCUCAAGGAUCAAUCGUAGUUGUUCUUGAACAAAGCAUUAAUGGAAUUUCAUUUUCAGUUUCAAGUAUUAAAGGAAAGGGUGGAUGUAAAGAAAUAGGAUUGUGCUUCUGUGGCAUGCAAUGUAAAGAAAUAGGUGAUAAUGUUGAAUUGCUUCCUUUCA